CUGCAGCCUAGUAAGUUGACUGUCCUCCCUCCUGUGGGGGUUGGUGCAAUGGCUGUAAGCAGCACCCUCCUUAGUAGCAUGUACAGGGUGCCCUAAGGGGUCUGGGAGACAACC
rnacentral:snoRNA from 1 species